GCACUCUCGCUGGAUUAGCCGC
rnacentral:miRNA from 1 species